CAGCUCCCAGCUUCCACCACGUCGGCCGGCUCAGGACGGGAUUUGUCCCCGGUGCCUUAUUUAGUUCACUUGGUGAGGUCAUGUUUUCCUGGUUGGUGUUGAUGCUAGUAGAUGUUCUUCAGUGUCUGGACAUUAAAAUCUUGGCCAUGCAGCACCAUAUGAGAGAGUUAAAAAAUAAAAUUAAAAAAGAGAAAAGAACCCAGAGUUGAUCUCUGCACCAUGCCAUCACUGCUGGGGAUGAGGAAACGGUGAUUUCAGGACUGUUUUUUCUGUCUCUUCAGUGCCUCUUUCAGUGAUCUGAGGUUAAAACCAGGAGGGAUUAUCAGUGGAGCCUUCUUUCUGCCAUCUUGCUUUAUUCUUACACCCAAGAAUCAGAAUGCAGAACUUUUAAUAAGAAAAGCUUUCAGAACUCAGGAAGGAGAAGGAAGACAUUCUGGUUCUCCAUGCUUAACAUUGGACUGUUUCUUCAACUUAGGUGCUUAGCACUGACUAAUCAGAGAUUAUCAUAGAUAAUUUGACUUGAACUAUGCCGUUCGUUCAAAUUCUUUAUCUAGACAAUUUAAGUACUAGCUGAUUUGGCAUGAAAAUCUGGCAAAGUAUUUUCUUGGUAUUCAAUUGAUUUUUAUUCUGCUUGCGUUAGCAGUUUUAUUAACCAGUCAGUCUCUUCAUUAAAGUUCUGGGAAUUCUUACCCAGUUCAAAUAAUGUAAUUCGAAAGUUCUCAAAAACCUGUAUUCAAGAGUGCUUCUCAGGGCCUUCUCCAUCCUUUCGUGAACCUCCUUAAAGAUAAAAUAUUCCAGGAUUUUGCAGGCUUGUAAAGUUUUCAGAAACUGCCUCAGAAUUAAGCAAU